UACGAAGGGGGCUAGCGUUGUUCGGAUUUACUGGGCGUAAAGCGCGUGUAGGCGGACCGUUAAGUCGGGGGUGAAAGCCCAGAGCUCAACUCUGGAACUGCCUUCGAUACUGGCGAUCUAGAGCAUGUCAGAGGCGAGUGGAAUUGCGAGUGUAGAGGUGAAAUUCGUAGAUAUUCGCAGGAACACCAGUGGCGAAGGCGACUCGCUGGGACAUUGCUGACGCUGAGACGCGAAAGCGUGGGGAGCAAAC
rnacentral:rRNA from 1 species